rnacentral:lncRNA from 1 species
GCCGCGUUUCCAUCGAUGAGAUACAAAGUGAUCUAUCGCUAGGCACGAUCACAUGUUUAUAUAUGUAUGAACCUUUCCGGUAGGUAAUUCCUUGAAAAACGAAAGAAAAGAAAAGAACCCUGCAGUCACUUUGAGCAACACAAUGGUUCAUAUAGACUCUCUGCUUCAAAUUGGGCUCCGAUCGACUACUAAUUUAAAUGGUGGGCGCAUGUCAUGC